UAGCUAACGGCCAAUAAAGAGGAGGUGA
rnacentral:piRNA from 1 species